rnacentral:RNase_P_RNA from 1 species
CAAUUACUACAGAGAGUCGCGCUACCUGUUCACACAGGCAGUGAGGAAAGUACGGACACCCCAUUCUUUGAAUGGAAGUGAGUGAUUGGUAACGCCAAUCGCGCAAGGACACGCUCCUUGCGUAGGGAAAGUGUCACAGAAACAAAACAGCCCCCUUAUGGGAGCGAUAGGUGAAAUGUAGGGAAAUAAGCCCCCCUUCACUCUUAUGGUGACAUAGGAGUGUGACAAACCCCACUCGGUGCAAGGCCGUGUUCUGUUUUUACAGAAAGUGCCGCUUGAGAUAGCGUGGCAACACACUAUCCAGAUAAAUGGCUCUCGCCUGCUUGCAGGUACAGAAUCCGUCUUAUCGUAGUAACAAAAUA